rnacentral:rRNA from 1 species
AUUGAACGCUGGCGGCAGGCCUAACUCAUGCAAGUCGAGCGAGCGGCGGACGGGUGAGUAAUGACUGGGAAACAGCCUGAUGGAGGGGGAUAACUACUGGAAACGGUAGCUAAUACCGCAUACCAUCAGAUGUGCCCAGAUGCGACGAGCUAGUAGGUGGGGUAAUGGCUCACCUAGGCGACGAUACCUAGCUGGUCUGAGAGGAUGACCAACCACACUGGAAAUGAGACACGGUCCAGACUCCUACGGUAGGCAGCAGUGGGAACUAUUGCACAAUGGGGGAAAGCGUGAUGGUGCCAUGCCGCGUGUGUGAGGAAGGCCUUCGGGUUUUAAAGCACUUUCAGCGGGGAGGAGGUACUCGCAGAAGAGGCACCGGCUAACUGCGUACCAGCAGCCGCGGUAGUAC